CAGCCGCCGCGGGAAUACGUAGGGUGCGAGCGUUAAUCGGAAUUACUGGGCGUAAAGCGUACGCAGGCGGUUUGUUAAGUCAGAUGUGAAAUCCCCGAGCUUAACUCGGGAACUGCAUUUGAAACUACCGGGCUUGAGUAUUGGAGAGGUGAGUGGAAUUUCCGGUGUAGCGGUGAAAUGCGUUGAGAUCGGAAAGAACACCAACGGCGAAAGCACUCUGCUGGGCCGACACUGACACUGAGAGACGAAAGCUAGGGGAGCAAAUGGGAUUAGAGACCCCCGUAGUCCCUGUCUCUUAUAC
rnacentral:rRNA from 1 species